rnacentral:rRNA from 1 species
UACAGAGACUGCAAGCGUUAUUCGGAUUCACUGGGCGUAAAGGGUGCGCAGGCGGUCGGGUGUGUCAGAUGUGAAAUCCCGAGGCUCAACCUCGGAACUGCGUCUGAAACUACUCGACUAGAGUACUGGAGAGGGUAACGGAAUUCACGGUGUAGCAGUGAAAUGCGUAGAUAUCAGGAGGAACACCUGUGGUGUAGACAGCUUACUGGACCAUUUCUGACGCUGAGACACGAAAGCGUGGGUAGCAAACAGG